AAGAAAAGUUUUCAUUCUAUUCCCUUCUCCUACUGUAAUGGUAGAUUCCAUGCCAAGUCUCACCCCACCUUGUCUAAUCUUUGGCAUAUUCUCCUCAACUACUCCAUUCAUGAAGCGAAAAUCUGCAUCGGUCGGUAUAAAAUCCUUGCUUAGCAAUUCUACGCCUUGUGAAAUCCUUGAGGCACAUAAGCAGUGAUGUGGCCUAAAUGUUGAUGAGACUCUAGUUCACAAAUGUGAUCUUCGGACUUUACAGGAUGACGGUUACAAACAUUUUCAAAGUCAACAUCAGCAUCUACAAAAAUUUAAGAAUUUGAAGCAAAUUGAACAAAC
rnacentral:lncRNA from 1 species